AGCGAACGCCGGCGGCAGGCUUAACACAUGCAAGUCGAACGCCCCUUCGGGGGGGUGGCAGACGGGUUAGUAACGCGUGGGAACGUGCCCUUUGGUUCGGAAUAUUCUCGGGAAACUGAGAGCAAUACCGGAUAAGCCCUACGGGGGAAAGAUUUAUCGCCAAAGGAGCGGCCCGCGUCAGAUUAGCUAGUUGGUAGGGUAAUGGCCUACCAAGGCUACGAUCUGUAGCUGGUCUGAGAGGCUGAUCAGCAACACUGGGACUGAGACACGGCCCAGCCUCCUACGGGAGGCAGCAGUGGGGAAUAUUGGACAAUGGGCGAAAGCUGGAUCUAGCCAUGCCGCGUGGAUGAUGAAGGCCUUAGGGUUGUAAAAUCCUUUCACCGGAGAUGAUAAUGACAGUAUCCGGAGGAGAAGCCCCGGCUAACUUCGUGCCAGCAGCCGCCGUAA
rnacentral:rRNA from 1 species